rnacentral:rRNA from 1 species
UACGGAGGGUGCAAGCGUUAUCCGGAUUCACUGGGUUUAAAGGGUGCGUAGGAGGGCAGGUAAGUCAGUGGUGAAAUCUUUGGGCUUAACCCGAAACUGCCAUUGAUACUAUCUGUCUUGAAUGCGGUGGAGGUGAGCGGAAUAUGUCAUGUAGCGGUGAAAUGCUUAGAUAUGACAUAGAACACCAAUUGCGAAGGCAGCUUACUACAGGGAUAUUGACACUGAGGCACGAAAGCGUGGGAUCAAACAGG